GAUGAAGAACGCAGCGAAAUGCGAUAAGUAAUGUGAAUUGCAGAAUUCAGUGAAUCAUCGAAUCUUUGAACGCACAUUGCGCCCGCCAGUAUUCUGGCGGGCAUGCCUGUUCGAGCGUCAUUUCAACCAUCAAGCCCCCCGGCUUGUGUUGGGGACCUGCGGCUGCCGCAGGCCCUGAAAAGCAGUGGCGGGCUCGCUGUCACACCGAGCGUAGUAGAUCUCAUCUCGCUCAGGGCGUGCUGCGGGUUCCGGCCGUUAAACCACCUUCAUAACCCAAGGUUGACCUCGGAUCAGGUAGGAAGACCCGCUGAACUUAAGCAUAUCAAUAAGCGGGGA
rnacentral:misc_RNA from 1 species